GACGAACGCUGGCGGCGUGCCUAAUACAUGCAAGUUGGGCGCUGAAGGUUGGUACUUGUACCAACUGGAUGAGCAGCGAACGGGUGAGUAACGCGUGGGGAAUCUGCCUUUGAGCGGGGGACAACAUUUGGAAACGAAUGCUAAUACCGCAUAAAAACUUUAAACACAAGUUUUAAGUUUGAAAGAUGCAAUUGCAUCACUCAAAGAUGAUCCCGCGUUGUAUUAGCUAGUUGGUGAGGUAAAGGCUCACCAAGGCGAUGAUACAUAGCCGACCUGAGAGGGUGAUCGGCCACAUUGGGACUGAGACACGGCCCAAACUCCUACGGGAGGCAGCAGUAGGGAAUCUUCGGCAAUGGACGAAAGUCUGACCGAGCAACGCCGCGUGAGUGAAGAAGGGUUUCGGAUCGUAAAACUCUGUUGGUAGAGAAGAACGUUGGUGAGAGUGGAAAGCUCAUCAAGUGACGGUAACUACCCAGAAAGGGGCGGCUAACUACGUG
rnacentral:rRNA from 1 species